rnacentral:rRNA from 1 species
ACGCUGGCGGCAGGCCUAACACAUGCAAGUCGAGCGGUAGAGAGAAGCUUGCUUCUCUUGAGAGCGGCGGACGGGUGAGUAAUGCCUAGGAAUCUGCCUGGUAGUGGGGGAUAACGUUCGGAAACGGACGCUAAUACCGCAUACGUCCUACGGGAGAAAGCAGGGGACCUUCGGGCCUUGCGCUAUCAGAUGAGCCUAGGUCGGAUUAGCUAGUUGGUGAGGUAAUGGCUCACCAAGGCGACGAUCCGUAACUGGUCUGAGAGGAUGAUCAGUCACACUGGAACUGAGACACGGUCCAGACUCCUACGGGAGGCAGCAGUGGGGAAUAUUGGACAAUGGGCGAAAGCCUGAUCCAGCCAUGCCGCGUGUGUGAAGAAGGUCUUCGGAUUGUAAAGCACUUUAAGUUGGGAGGAAGGGCAUUAACCUAAUACGUUGAUGUUUUGACGUUACCGACAGAAUAAGCACCGGCUAACUCUGUGCCAGCAGCCGCGGUAAUACAGAGGGUGCAAGCGUUAAUCGGAAUUACUGGGCGUAAAGCGCGCGUAGGUGGUUUGUUAAGUUGAAUGUGAAAUCCCCGGGCUCAACCUGGGAACUGCAUCCAAAACUGGCAAGCUAGAGUAGGGCAGAGGGUGGUGGAAUUUCCUGUGUAGCGGUGAAAUGCGUAGAUAUAGGAAGGAACACCAGUGGCGAAGGCGACCACCUGGGCUCAUACUGACACUGAGGUGCGAAAGCGUGGGGAGCAAAC